rnacentral:rRNA from 1 species
AUUGAACGCUGGCGGCAUGCCUUACACAUGCAAGUCGAACGGCAGCACGGGUGCUUGCACCUGGUGGCGAGUGGCGAACGGGUGAGUAAUACAUCGGAACAUGUCCUGUAGUGGGGGAUAGCCCGGCGAAAGCCGGAUUAAUACUGCAUACGAUCUACGGAUGACAGCGGGGGACCUUCGGGCCUCGCGCUUUAGGGUUGGCCGAUGGCUGAUUAGCUAGUUGGUGGGGUAAAGGCCUACCAAGGCGACGAUCAGUAGCUGGUCUGAGAGGACGACCAGCCACACUGGGACUGAGACACGGCCCAGACUCCUACGGGAGGCAGCAGUGGGGAAUUUUGGGCAAUGGGCGAAAGCCUGAUCCAGCAAUGCCGCGUGUGUGAAGAAGGCCUUCGGGUUGUAAAGCACUUUUGUCCGGAAAGAAAUCCUUGGCCCUAAUACGGUCGGGGGAUGACGGUACCGGAAGAAUAAGCACCGGCUAACUACGUG